GGCAGUGGUGGCUGGGUGGUUAAGACUUUGGGUUACUGAUCGAAAUGUCAGGGGUUAAAACCCCAGCGCUGCCA